rnacentral:lncRNA from 1 species
AAUAUAGAAGGAUAAGACUUAUUUCAAUUUGAGAUGAAAAAUAAAGUGGUAGUAAGAAUUUUUCCAAAAUAAUAUUAUUUAAUAUGCUCAAACAAUGAUAAAUAAAGGUUAGAGAAAACACAGAUAUAUAACGGAUCUAGAAAAUCAGAAGAACCUCAAAGGUUAUGAUUUUCAGAAGAACCCAGAUGGUGAGAAAGACUUGGAAGGUCAUUGAACUGAGUAGGAGAAGCCAAGUGUCAGGCUUGAAUAGCCAUGGCUGGCCAGAACAAGGUCAAAGAUGGCUGGAAACAACAUAGAAGUGGAAGCAUCCAAGAUCUGGACAAAGCUUCUUCAAAGUCUGGUCUUGAAACCAUAAUAAUCGAGCAUGUAGGAGUUGUAGGAGGUGGAUACAUGCCUCUAAUGGCUUUGGAAGCCAUGGAUGACGGUUUCAUGGCGGCGGUUGAGGGUGACGGCUAGGUUUGAGAGAGAAUAUGGGAGAAGGGGGGAUUCAAG